UGGUUCAGAUAUGAAACUCAGACCUUGAGAGUCCUUUUUUUCUUUCUUUUUCUUUUUUUUUUCUUUUUUUUUUCUGAAGGAAAAUGUGAAGACAAACAACUGCCUAGGAUAAGCUUCUUCUUAUCUUCAUCUUGUAAAACUCCUCCAGGAAAGCUAAUUAGAAUAUGUAAGACAGGGGAAAGAAGCACCAGAAAAGGAAAGGAAAAAGAGGCCUUGAAACCCACAGGCAGUCAGAGAGGAAAGUCCUGGCCUUUACAGUUCCUGUCGACAGCUGGAGAAGUCUGGAAAAGGUUUCAGAGUGAAAUCUGUGUCUCAGUGAUUCAUUGCUCCGAGGGGAGGUUUAGCAGCACGGGCAGCUGGGCGGCCCCAGCCUCUCCGUGCCCAGGACAGAGCCGGUGGCCUGGUGGCGGCAGGACAGUGCUCCAGGAUCGUGAUGGCUUUGGAAAAGUUGUGAGUGAAUUAGAAAUGCAAACUGUGUGGAAAGAAAGGACGAGAGAGACGUGGCCUGAAGGCUGUCCCGAGGACUCAUCCUGACAGGCUAUUUGUGGGAAAUGCAUCUGGGAAUUGGAUAUCCACAAGAAUUUGCCCUGAAGAUCUGCUUUGAAGACCUAAGCAUAGGCAGUCAAGGGACAAAAGUGUAGACAAAUAAGACAUGGUAAUGGAAGCAGCUCAGUUUUCAUCACAGGUUUCUAAAGCAGGACAUUUGAAAAGAAAACUACAUCUUUUGACAGAGGAAGAAAGAAAACAAAGUUUUGAAGGCAUAUGGGUUUCUGGGCUUGCACUGACCUACUUCAAAGGUAGAAUACCAUUGGAGACUGCAGAACCGUAAAUAAGUGAGUUCAUUUUUCAUCAGAAUAAUACUUAAUGCCAUACUGUGUUCACAGUGAUAUUACAUUCUUUACUCAUACGUGUCUUCAUGUUUUGGAUUUUAAAAUCUCAAGGACAUCAUGACCUGAUUCUUGCUCAAAGUGAGAUCUCAUUCAAUUACUUCUACAACUUGCUUCAGCAGAAAAAUCCUGAAAAUCCAUCAGAAAAAAAACGAUGUUCUAAAAAUAAAAUAUUUUCCAGGCACCUACCUGUUUCA
rnacentral:lncRNA from 1 species